rnacentral:rRNA from 1 species
UAGGGAAUCUUCCGCAAUGGACGAAAGUCUGACGGAGCAACGCCGCGUGUGUGAAGAAGGAUUUCGGUUCGUAAAACUCUGUCGUUAGGGAAGAAAAAAUGUAUAGUAACUAUAUACAAAAGAGACGGUACCUAACCAGAAAGCCACGGCUAACUACGUGCCAGCAGCUGCGGUAAUACGCAGGUGGCAAGCGUUGUCCGGAAUUAUUGGGCGUAAAGCGCGCGCAGGUGGUUUAGAAAGUCGGAUGUGAAAGCCCACGGCUCAACCGGGGAGCGUCAUUGGAAACUAAUAAGCUGGAUUGCAGGAGAGAAAAGUGGAAUUCCUAGUGUAGCGGUGAAAUGCGUAGAGAUUAGGAGGAACACCGGUGGCGAAAGCGGCUUUUUGGCCUGCAACUAACACUGAGGCGCGAAAGCGUGGGGAGCAAACGGG